rnacentral:rRNA from 2 species
UUAGGAAUCUUCCGCAAUGGACGGAAGUCUGACGGAGCGACGCCGCUUGGAGGAGGAAGCCCUUCGGGGUGUAAACUCCUGAACUGGGGACGAAAGCCCCGUGUAGGGGGAUGACGGUACCCAGGUAAUAGCGCCGGCCAACUCCGUGCCAGCAGCCGCGGUAAUACGGAGGGCGCGAGCGUUACCCGGAUUUACUGGGCGUAAAGGGCGUGUAGGCGGCCUGGGGCGUCCCAUGUGAAAGGCCACGGCUCAACCGUGGAGGAGCGUGGGAUACGCUCAGGCUAGAGGGUGGGAGAGGGUGGUGGAAUUCCCGGAGUAGCGGUGAAAUGCGCAGAUACCGGGAGGAACGCCGAUGGCGAAGGCAGCCACCUGGUCCACUUCUGACGCUGAGGCGCGAAAGCGUGGGGAGCAAACCGG